UACAGAGGUCCCAAGCGUUGUUCGGAUUCACUGGGCGUAAAGGGUGCGUAGGUGGUGAGGUAAGUCGGAUGUGAAAGCUCGGAGCUCAACUCCGAAAUGGCAUUGGAAACUACCUUGCUCGAGGGUUGGAGGGGGGACUGGAAUGCUUGGUGUAGCAGUGAAAUGCGUAGAUAUCAGGAGGAACACCGGUGGCGAAGGCGGGUCUCUGGGCAGUAACUGACGCUGAGGAGCGAAAGCGUGGGGAGCGAACAGG
rnacentral:rRNA from 1 species